AAAUUAAAAAACGAAAAAGGAAGGAAAAGAUCAAAUUGACAAUCGCAAAGGAGCAGAGGGAUCAAAGUGGAAAAUAACCCAAUGAUCUGAAACGCGGGGACCCCCUGGAGUGGGUCGGGUCACGCACGGAUGGCCUGAUACGGCACCGUUUUAGCGCCGGUUUCCUUGUUGCAAAACGACGCUGUUUUUGCUUUGCUAUUUAAACCAGCUUUAAAAAAAUUUUAUCCUUCUUCCUUUUUCUUAAAAAAAAAAAACAGAAACACUCCUCUUUUCCCCCAUUUAUGCGAACCUUAAAGAAACCAAACCCUAGCCGCCAUGUAGCCACCGCAUACGGUGGUCGAUGGGGGUGGUCUUCUCGUUCUUUACCCCGUUUAGAUCCAUAUCCGAGGAUUUAAUGCUUUCCACCAUGAAGAGUCAAAAAGAAAGUCACCCCUUUUUGUUGGAUUCGAUUUUAACGGAGAAGAACUCCGAUGAUACCAACGAUUCAAGGCUCGGGUCGGGGAAAGUCAACGAAAGGGGGGCUUCCGUUUUGAUGCAACGAGACAGGGGGAGCCAACCCUCGAGCGGUGUUUGCGCUUAGGAAGCACGUGGCUGGUAGAAGGGAGGCACGACGCUAGGGCUGGCUAAGGUUUCUGUCUCUACUAAAACCGUUUGGGCCUAUCGGGCCAUCAGUAUUUUGGGUUUGUAACCGGGUAGCGGGCCUGUUUUGUUUGUAAACGAACUUUUAAUUAUUUUUAGAUUUUGGUUUUUUUAUUGAUUUAGGCUCGGUUUGUAAUUGGACUAUUGUUAUUAAGGCCGGGUCAAAUUUGGGCAUUUACAGCUUAGAUACCCCAAUAAGAUUCCCAAAUGUCAAUGCUGGUUAAGUAAAGACAAAUUGGGUCCAUAAUGAAA